rnacentral:rRNA from 1 species
GACAGAGGGUGCAAACGUUGUUCGGAAUUACUGGGCGUAAAGCGCGUGUAGGCUGCUCAGAAAGUCGGAUGUGAAAUCCCUCGGCUUAACCAAGGAAGUGCAUCCGAAACUGCAGUGCUUGAGUACUUAAGAGGAUCGCGGAAUUCCCGGUGUAGAGGUGAAAUUCGUAGAUAUCGGGAGGAACACCAGUGGCGAAGGCGGCGAUCUGGGAAGAUACUGACGCUGAGGUGCGAAAGCGUGGGGAGCAAACAGG